rnacentral:lncRNA from 1 species
UCCAAGAUUAAUGGAAACUGACCAUGAGACUAUUUCACACAGGUUAUGUUGGAAGAUGGCACCCUUAAUUCAUUCUCAGAUGCAGGGUGGAGUCACUGUGCUUAACUGUGAUGUCCUCAUUGAACUUAGUUAUGUAAGCAUUUUUCAUUCUAAUCUCUUGCUCUCUGUGGUCUGGCAGUUGGGAUUUAGUUUUAGGUCUUUAAAUGCUUGCCUUUUCCUUACAACUCUCUCUCUCCCCUACUCUCUGUCUCUGUUUCUGUCUCUCUCUCCUACUCUCUCUCUCUUCUUCCACUCUCUUUCUCUCCCCUACUCUUUCUCUUUCCCCCUACUCUCUCUCUCCUACUCUCUCUUUCUCCCCCUAUGCUCGCUCUCUCUCUCUCUCUCUCUCUCUCUCUCUCUCUCUCUCUCUCUUAUCUUUUUAUUUCUUUGUUAAAUACUGGCUUGUCCCAACCAUCAUCCCCAGACAUUCCCUGUAUAGGCAUGUGACCUGCCUUCCUGUGGUGGCAGAUUAGAGUUCUGGGUAGUUCUGAGUGGCAUAGUGGUGGCCUCCAUCACCUCAAUCUGUGAUCUCUAUUGCUUUACUCAGCCAUCCCAUAACUGGGCAUACAAUGCACAUGCUUUAUUUUGGCUACUGUGGUAUAAUGGUUAUUUUGCUGUUCAUACUGGCUUCUGCACAGUCUUUGUGCUCUGUGUCAGUGUCUCUGACUUUGCCAGACCUCAGCUAUUUCUUCGUCCCGUGGCUCCUAUGUCUGAACCCAAAUUUCUGGGCAUCUUGUAAUCUCUCAAAUGUUAGAUUAGAGGUACAUUUUAAAUUCAUCUUAGCUGCCUGAAAAGUGUGUCAUCAAGUGCUACUACACCUAAUGCAUUGCAUUCUAAAUAGAAGUGUGGAUGCAGAUGUGUGUGUGUGCGUGCGUGCGUGUGUGUGUGUGUGUGUGUGUGUGUGUGUGUGUGUAUGUGGUGUGAAUGUGGUGUGAAUGUAUGUGUGUGUGUGUAUGUGGUGUGAAUGUAUGUGUGUGUGUGUGUGUGCGUGUGUGCAUGUGUGUGUGUGUGGUGUGAAUGUAUGUGUGUGUGCAUGUGUGCAUGUAUGUGUGUGUGGUGUGAAUGUAUGUGUGUGUGCAUGUGUGCAUGUGUGUGUGUGGUGUGAAUGUAUGUGUGUGUGUAUGUGUGUGUAUGUGUGUGUGUAUGUGUGUGUGGUGUGCAUGUCUGUGUGUGUGGUGUGAAUGUAUGUGUGUGUGUGUAGUUUAGGCAGGACAUGACUAGAGUUCCUCGGGGACUGGUUGACUUUAAUAUUAGUCUUAGAAGCACGUUCAUAGUGAGAGAACCUGCAGCAGCUAUUCUCAGAGUGACAUGAGUCUGUGCUUAGUUAUGUGCCAUGUAGCAUGCAUGUAAUAGUGAAAUAAGACUUUUUCUAAAUAAAUGUACAUACCCAAAUACAAGUUAACACAAAACAAACCAUCAAAACAUAUGUACAACUUAACACAAAACAUAAAUAUUUUAUUGUCGAAUGUGGUCCAUACUUUAGUAAAUGAAGUAGGACUACAUUCCAAUGAAUGUCUUCUCUCCUCCUAUUUUAUAGUUGAGCCAAGGGGGGGUGGCUAGUAAAAUCUAGCUUUAUUGUUGGGUUUCAUGUACUCAGAAGUCCUAUUAUACUUUAGCCAGCUUAAAUUCAAACUCUUCCAUGAUGGAAUGUUUACUGUUACCGGAGUCAUUCAGUCAUGAUGGGAGAGUAUGUUUUAGGAAAUGCUACACUCUGUUGUACCAUUGAUACACUUCCAAUCUCGGGGGCUUAGCCUACAGUUCUUUCCUUUUCCUGUCAGUUUCCUAUGUGUUGGGAGGUUCCCAGAGGCACACUACUGUCAGUAGUGACGAAAACUCCAGACUUUGACCUUCUCAUUCUGUCAUGUUUACACACGACGUCCAUGGCGGCUGUAGAAGGAGAAGAGGGAUGUGAAUAAUUAUGUUAUUUCUUACCUAAGGAUUAUAGAUACAUUUCCUGGUUGAUCUGUACAGUAUGUCCAAGACUGAAAGUCUAUCACAGUGGUCUCACCUUAGCUUUGUAUUUAUUUUCCAAAGUUUUAUUAAAUUGUAGUUAAUAAACUCUGCAGUGAUGGAAUGUUUAAUAAUGCCUAAGUUUUAAAUUACCUGCUGUUCUGAGUAGAGUUACAGUUCAUACCACUUUGCUUCAUCCUGCCUAGAGUGACUAUCGUCCUUCUGUGUGUGUUCCAUGCCAGAUACACCUCUCACCCAUUAGUCACUUCCAAGCUGACUUGGUUAUUAUGUUGAAUCAAGUAACCAUUAUAUAGUAGCUUGACAUGAUAUCGUAAUGCUUGUGUUAUACACUCUACUUCAUUUGAUCACAUAAGCACUGGGUAUACUGGCUGGUUUUGCGUGUCGAGUUGACACAAGCUCGAGUUAUCACAGAGAAAGGAGCUUCAGUUGAGGAAGUGCCUCCAUGACACCCAUCUGUAAGGCAUUUUCUCAA